CCUCGGGCGGCUGCAGUGGGGAAUAUUGCACAAUGGGCGCAAGCCUGAUGCAGCAACGCCGCGUGAGGGAUGAAGGCCUUCGGGUUGUAAACCUCUUUUAGCAGGGAAGAAGCGAAAGUGACGGUACCUGCAGAAAAAGCACCGGCUAACUACGUGCCAGCAGCCGCGGUAAUACGUAGGGUGCAAGCGUUGUCCGGAAUUAUUGGGCGUAAAGAGCUCGUAGGCGGUUUGUCACGUCUGCUGUGAAAAUCCAAGGCUCAACCUUGGACUUGCAGUGGGUACGGGCAGGCUAGAGUGCGGUAGGGGAGAUGGGAAUUCCUGGUGUAGCGGUGGAAUGCGGAGAUAUCAGGAGGAACACCAAUGGCGAAGGCACAUCUCUGGGCCGUAACUGACGCUGAGGAGCGAAAGCGUGGGGAGCGAACAGGAUUAGAUACCCCCGUAGUC
rnacentral:rRNA from 1 species